rnacentral:lncRNA from 1 species
CAUAAUCUCCUCAAACAGAGCCAUACACCUCUCAUCAUUUUGCCCCUUCUUCUAGAAAAAGUUUGCAUUUCUCUUGAAGUCUUUCCUACUCCCUUCACAUGCACUGCUUAUCCUUCCAAUCUCAGUGACCAAGUUCUCUAUUAUAGUAUCAUCGUACUUUCUUUUUUUACUUAGUAAACCUCCUUUCUUCUUGCCAAUUAUUGUAGUACUAGUACCAACGCCUGUAGGUUGGCAAAUAGAUAGUGGUGAAUUUAUUGCAUUAGGAGAACAUCCCUCAGCAUUCAUAUCAUCUUCCAAACUCAUAGUAUCAUCUAAGGCUUUCUCCUCUUUCUCAAUUUGUUCACAAGCAUCAGCUGGAUCCUCUGCACCCUCCCCAUUUGCUCUAUCCUCACCGAACACAAUUGACAAGUCUUCAUAAUAAGGGAAAAGCUUGUUUCUUAGGCUAGCUGCAUGGGAUGACUCUGUCAACACUUAACAAAGAUUAUUAAAUAAUUUUAGAGAUACAAACAAGUGAAGAAUUAUAUUGAAAAUGUAUAAAUUAAAAGCAAACUUAGAAAGCGGAUAUUUAUAUAAUACCUUCACCUAUAGGUCUUAAACAUCUUUGUCUGCCACCAUACAUUUUUCUCUAUCAUUCCACC